rnacentral:misc_RNA from 1 species
GAAAUGCGAUAAGUAAUGUGAAUUGCAGAAUUCAGUGAAUCAUCGAAUCUUUGAACGCACAUUGCGCCCGCGAGUAUUCUCGCGGGCAUGCCUGUUCGAGCGUCAUUUCAACCAUCAAGCCCCUGGCUUGUGUUGGAGCCCUGCGGCUGCCGCAGCCUCCCAAAAACAGUGGCGGGCUCGCUAUCACACCGAGUGCAGUAGUUUACUCUUCGCUCAGGGCGUGUGGCGGGUGCUGGCCGUGAAAUCUCCCACCUCUCAAGGUUGACCUCGGAUCAGGUAGGAAUACCCGCUGAACUUAA